rnacentral:rRNA from 1 species
UACGAAGGGGGCUAGCGUUGCUCGGAAUCACUGGGCGUAAAGCGCACGUAGGCGGAUUGCUAAGUCAGGGGUGAAAUCCUGGAGCUCAACUCCAGAACUGCCUUUGAUACUGACGAUCUCGAGUCCGGGAGAGGUGAGUGGAACUGCGAGUGUAGAGGUGAAAUUCGUAGAUAUUCGCAAGAACACCAGUGGCGAAGGCGGCUCACUGGCCCGG